UAAGUUACUAAGGGCACACAGGGGAUGCCUUGGAUUUGAGAGGCGAUGAAAGACGUGAUAAGCUGCGAUAAGCUACGGGGAGAAGCAAAUAUUUUGUGAUCCGUAGAUUUCUGAAUGGGGAAACCCGGCUGGUUGAAGACCAGUCACCGAAAGGAGCAAACCUGGAGAACUGAAACAUCUAAGUACCCAGAGGAAGAGAAAACAAUAGUGAUUUCCGGAGUAGCGGCGAGCGAAAUGGAAAUAGCCCAAACCGAAGUUGUUUCGGCAGCUUCGGGGUUGUAGGACUACAAUGUGGACUUAUAGAUUAUAGCGGAAUUAAGUUGGAAAGCUUAACUGUAGAGGGUGAUAGUCCCGUACGCGAAAUAGUCUAUAUACCUAGUAGUAUCCUGAGUAGGGCGGGACAUGUGAAAUCCUGUCUGAAUCUACCGGAACCAUCCGGUAAGGCUAAAUACUCCUCAAAUACCGAUAGCGAACGAGUACUGUGAAGGAAAGGUGAAAAGAACCGUGAAUAACGGAGUGAAAAAGAUCCUGAAACUGUGUGCCUACAAGCGGUCGGAGCCUACGGGUGACGGCGUGCCUUUUGCAUAAUGAUCCUACGAGUUACUCCUCAUUGGCAAGGUUAAGAAUUUAAGAUUCGAAGCCGAAGCGAAAGCGAGUCUGAACAGGGCGACAUAGUCAGUGGGGGUAGACGCGAAACCUUGUGAUCUACCCAUGGCCAGGUUGAAGUUCCGGUAACACGGAAUGGAGGACCGAACCAGUAAGCGUUGAAAAGCUUUUGGAUGAGCUGUGGGUAGGGGUGAAAGGCCAAUCAAACCGGGAAAUAGCUCGUACUCCCCGAAAUGCUUUUAGGAGCAGCGUGGAGGUAGAGUCUGUUAGAGGUAGAGCUACCGAUAGGACUAGGGGGAGUCAAAUCCUACCAAAUCCUGACGAACUCCGAAUGCUAACAGAUAUACUCCGCAGUGAGGGCAAGGGUGCUAAGGUCCUUGUCCGAGAGGGAAAGAACCCGGACCAUCAGCUAAGGUCCCCAAAUAUAUACUAAGUUGAACUAAGGAGGUUCAGUUGCUUAGACAGCCAGGAUGUUGGCUUGGAAGCAGCCAUUCAUUUAAAGAGUGCGUAACAGCUCACUGGUCGAGCGACAGGGCAUCGAUGAUGAUCGGGCAUUAAGUAUAGUACCGAAGCUAAGGCAGUAGUUUACUACUGGGUAGGGGAGCAUUCUAUUCCGCGAUGAAGGUAUCUGGUGAUGGAUAUUGGAGCGUAUAGAAAAGCAAAUGUAGGCAUAAGUAACGAUAAGGCGGGUGAGAAACCCGCCCACCGAUAGACUAAGGUUUCCUGAUCAACGCUAAUCGGAUCAGGGUUAGUCGGGACCUAAGGCGAAACCGAAUGGUGUAGUCGAUGGACAAUUGGUUAAUAUUCCAAUACUACCGUAUUCAGCGAUGGGGUGACGGAGUAGUGAAAGAUCCGCGAACUGACGGAAUAGUUCGUUAAAGGGUGUAGUUAUAGGCUGUGUAGGCAAAUCCGCAUGGCUUGAUGAACCUGAUAGUACCACAAUGCUUCGGCAGCGUGGAUAGUGAUCCUAAUCAGACUUCCAAGAAAAACCUCUAAGCAUAUGUAUAUGGUACCCGUACCGCAAACCGACACAGGUAGUCAAGGAGAGAAUCCUGAGGUGCUCGAGUGAUCCGUGGCUAAGGAACUAGGCAAAAUCGCCCUGUAACUUCGGGAGAAGGGGCGCCUCGUUAGUGAUAACGAGGCCGCAGUGAAAAGGCCCAGGCGACUGUUUAACAAAAACACAUGGCUUUGCGAA
rnacentral:rRNA from 1 species